rnacentral:rRNA from 1 species
CAGGCUUAUCACGUGCAAGUCGAGGGGCAUCAGGAAGAAAGCCUGCUUUCUUUGCUGGCGACCGGCGCACGGGUGAGUAACACGUAUCCAACCUGCCCUUUACUCGGGGAUAGCCUUUCGAAAGAAAGAUUAAUACCCGAUGGCAUAAUGAUUCCGCAUGGUUUCAUUAUUAAAGGAUUCCGGUAAAGGAUGGGGAUGCGUUCCAUUAGGUUGUUGGUGAGGUAACGGCUCACCAAGCCUUCGAUGGAUAGGGGUUCUGAGAGGAAGGUCCCCCACAUUGGAACUGAGACACGGUCCAAACUCCUACGGGAGGCAGCAGUGAGGAAUAUUGGUCAAUGGGCGCUAGCCUGAACCAGCCAAGUAGCGUGAAGGAUGAAGGCUCUAUGGGUCGUAAACUUCUUUUAUAUAAGAAUAAAGUGCAGUAUGUAUACUGUUUUGUAUGUAUUAUAUGAAUAAGGAUCGGCUAACUCCGUGCCAGCAGCCGCGGUAAUACGGAGGAUCCGAGCGUUAUCCGGAUUUAUUGGGUUUAAAGGGAGCGUAGGUGGACUGGUAAGUCAGUUGUGAAAGUUUGCGGCUCAACCGUAAAAUUGCAGUUGAUACUGUCAGUCUUGAGUACAGUAGAGGUGGGCGGAAUUCGUGGUGUAGCGGUGAAAUGCUUAGAUAUCACGAAGAACUCCGAUUGCGAAGGCAGCUCACUGGACUGCAACUGACACUGAUGCUCGAAAGUGUGGGUAUCAAACAGGAUUAGAUACCCUGGUAGUCCACACAGUAAACGAUGAAUACUCGCUGUUUGCGAUAUACAGUAAGCGGCCAAGCGAAAGCAUUAAGUAUUCCACCUGGGGAGUACGCCGGCAACGGUGAAACUCAAAGGAAUUGACGGGGGCCCGCACAAGCGGAGGAACAUGUGGUUUAAUUCGAUGAUACGCGAGGAACCUUACCCGGGCUUAAAUUGCAGUGGAAUGAUGUGGAAACAUGUCAGUGAGCAAUCACCGCUGUGAAGGUGCUGCAUGGUUGUCGUCAGCUCGUGCCGUGAGGUGUCGGCUUAAGUGCCAUAACGAGCGCAACCCUUAUCUUUAGUUACUAACAGGUUAUGCUGAGGACUCUAGAGAGACUGCCGUCGUAAGAUGUGAGGAAGGUGGGGAUGACGUCAAAUCAGCACGGCCCUAACGUCCGGGGCUACACACGUGUUACAAUGGGGGGUACAGAAGGCAGCUAGCGGGUGACCGUAUGCUAAUCCCAAAAGCCUCUCUCAGUUCGGAUCGAAGUCUGCAACCCGACUUCGUGAAGCUGGAUUCGCUAGUAAUCGCGCAUCAGCCACGGCGCGGUGAAUACGUUCCCGGGCCUUGUACACACCGCCCGUCAAGCCAUGGGAGCCGGGGGUACCUGAAGUACGUAACCGCAAGGAUCGUCCUAGGGUAAAACUGGUGACUGGGGCUAA